GACGAACGCUGGCGGCGUGCUUAACACAUGCAAGUCGAACGGGGCGAAGUGAUAGCUUGCUAUUAUGGAGCCUAGUGGCAAACGGGUGAGUAACGCGUAGGCAACCUGCCCUUCAGAUGGGGACAACACCUCGAAAGGGGUGCUAAUACCGAAUGACGUUUCCUGGUCGCAUGACCCUGGAAACCAAAGGCCGGGCAACCGGUCACUGAAGGAUGGGCCUGCGUCUGAUUAGCUAGUUGGUGGGGUAACGGCCCACCAAGGCGACGAUCAGUAGCCGGUCUGAGAGGAUGAACGGCCACAUUGGGACUGAGACACGGCCCAA
rnacentral:rRNA from 1 species